rnacentral:rRNA from 1 species
GGAAUAUUGGACAAUGGCCGGAAGGCUGAUCCAGCCAUGCCGCGUGCGGGCGGACGGCCCUAUGGGUUGUAAACCGCUUUUGCGGGGGAGCAAUAAGUGUUACGCGUAACACGAUGAGAGUUCCCUGCGAAUAAGCAUCGGCUAACUCCGUGCCAGCAGCCGCGGUAAUACGGAGGAUGCAAGCGUUAUCCGGAUUUAUUGGGUUUAAAGGGUGCGUAGGCGGCUUGGUAAGCGGGAGGUGAAAUGCCGGCGCUCAACGUCGGAAGUGCCUCCCGAACUGUCGGGCUUGAAUAGUACUGCCGUGGGAGGAAUGAGUGGUGUAGCGGUGAAAUGCUUAGAGAUCACUCAGAACACCGAUUGCGAAGGCAUCUCACGAAGUACCGAUUGACGCUGAGGCACGAAAGCGUGGGGAUCAAACA